CUUGUACUCCCUCCAUCCGAAAAUACUUUUCAUUGAAAUGGAUGUAUCUAGAUGUAUUUUAGUUCUAGACACAUCCAUUUUGAUGACAAGUAAUUCCGGACGGAGGGAGUACUUG
rfam:Triticum aestivum genome assembly, contig: Triticum_aestivum_CS42_TGACv1_scaffold_608733_7DL